UAUUUGACUAAGAAAAGCCCAAUAUGGAUUCAGUAUUUAAUACCAUUGCUAAUCAUUUUUCCAUUAUGGAAGAUCGACUGUAAGUCUGUACGUCACACGUAUUGCCGAUUGGCCUUUAUCCAGCAAACGAGUUAACUGAGUUACCAACUAAACUGAACUGAUUGACGAACCGAGCGGAUCUAUAGUUUGGGCCAUAUUUGCUUAUAACCAAAUGCCCCAUGAUGGAUGAUGUUGGUCUAAGUGCAAUCGCCAGACUUAUUCGACUUCUUGAGCCCUCUGCCAAUCGACUGAUCGAUAACAGAUACAUAACUGGUUGCCGUUAUUUGCGCUGACUACAGCUAACGGUACAUUCGUAGCGGGCGUACGUAAACGUUUUUGCAUAUGGUAACAACAAUACCGUUUCGGAGGUGCGGCACUGAUUGAUUUACCGGAUUUUGACAAAGCACUCUUAAAAAACAAAACCUAUCCGAGUUAAACAGAAUGUUUAAGAUUAAUGUCAUUAAAGGUUCUUGUGUGAUAGUAUCAUGGAGUUUUGCUAAGUUAUAUUAUAUGUAAGAAAAGACUAUUUGUGAAAACGAACUUAAUUUUUUAAGAGAUGCACAUGGACUUUUUCCGCGAGUGUAGACAGCGCGUCUGAAGUGGAGCGCACAUGCGAAUCCGAUCGUUUAGAUUGGGCCCAGAAGAACUCUAACCUGUGCACUAUAUGUAAUCGUUUCGAUUCCGGGCGUGCAAUGGAUCGCGCUCUUGCUCCUCUCUUCGUGGCCCACUCAGAUAACGCCGUGCAAGGUGACCACGGGAACAACACCAAAAAAUAAUGACAGUCACACGGAUGGGAGAGAUUUUUAGGUUGGCGGGGUUCGGCGAUAAUGUGUGUUGUUUACAAGUGCACUGAUUUCAAAUUGAAUUCCUUCUGGUAUUCCUUGUUUUUCAUUUAUUUGCAAUUUUUCCGUUUUCCGUUCCGAUCCUCUUGUAUGCUUCACUUUCAGGAUACCCACGUUUAAAAAUUGUUGAAAAAAAAAAUAAACACUCGCAGGAAUCGUUGGCUUUCGCCUUUCGCUGUGUUGUGUGUAGUUUUAACUGUUUACUUUUUUUUUCUUUUGGAACAAAAUAGGUUGAAGAGAAUCGCGAAACACUGGAAGACUGAGCGAAAAAAAAAAAUAAACACUCUCGUCGAUCGCGUCGCAGGACCGUUACCGUUACCGGUGCACGCUGAAUUUGAUGUGAAAAAUGGAAGGUUGACACUUUUUGUUAACGGUGACGAUCGCUCCGUCGCUUCUCGAUUCCCGUAACCGUUCUGAUUUAAAUGGAACGCUCUGCUCCAAGCUCACGUCGGUUUCCAGUCUCUGCCGGCGUAGGCGUAGGCGUCGACGUCGCUGCCCGCUAACCGCUAUUUCGGUUUCUUUUUCGCUUUUCCGUUUCGUUUUCGACAAUUUCCAGCCGAGCUUUAAAUUUAAAGUCGCCUUCUCUCUCCGCCCGUUUCCCGUUUUCCCGUAAGGAGCUUCACCGUUACGUUGCUACCAAUUGGUUUUCAAAACGAGCUCUCCGAGUGCGGUACGUAAAAUAUGAAAAGAAAUCAGAGCGAAGAGCUCAAAACCGCACUGCGAGCGAACAAGCGGUAUUAAUACAAUUCAACCAGCUCCUUUAACUGCCGAUCGGUGAGUUAGUUCACUUAUAGAUGUGUAUGUAUGGGGUUGUGUGCACUGUACGUGUGAUCUCUAAUCCAGUGCUCACUCACUUUGAGCUCUUCGCUCAUGAAAACAAGAACAAGAAGACAGUGCGGAAUCACUCAAAGAGGUGUGUGAGUGGCUUUUUUUUCGAGUGUGCGGGUGGGGGAGCCCCACCCCCAGCCCUGAACUAACUAAACGGAACUGAACUAAACUAAAUCAAGUUGAAAUGCCGAUCGACGAACGGCAACUACGAAUUUUGCCAGCAGUGCUCAGCCCACUAACUGCCUGCCCCCAACCUCCCCCUCCACCCAACACCCCCACCCCCCGCCAACCAACCAAAAUCGAUCGUCGCAAAAAAGAGAUACUGUGUAGUAACCAACGGAAUAUGGGGUUAGUACAGUGGAGCAAAUUGUCGCCAGGAUUGAACCACACAUCUCAAGAUCUUAAUGAAAAUGAUAUCAUAUUAAAAUUGAUAUAAUAAAAAAAAUUAUUAUAUAUUUCUAUAAAACUUUCUGAGCUCCCUAUUCCACCCUUGAAUCAUUGAAUAUUACAAUAAAAAUAUCCAAUCCAAGUGAUAACAUUUCAACAACAUUUCCUAUAAGCCAUAAAAUUCGGCCCUGACAUGCCCAUUUAAUUAACGUCAAAAACUCGAUUUUAUACAACCCAAUUUAGUAAAAGAUAUCUACGGUUAAGAAAAUUGACACUCAUUGGGUAUUUCAUGUUACAGUAAUCUUUAUUGCAAAUAUGUUAUGGUUUGAUUUUAAGGAAAACGUUUAUUGUUUAUAAAUGGUUAGAGCUAAGGUUAAAUAGGACAGAUACUUAGAUGGGAAGGAUAUUUAUAUAUUGAAAACUAACUAAAUCGUAGUUGUAUUGCUUCGAUUCCAUGAAAGUUAGAUGUCUAGAUCAAAAACACUCUAUUUCUUAUCGCUAUUGUGCGGUUCGGAUGCGAGCAUCACUUAUCACGACCCACUGUGUGCUCUGUUUUUGCGGAUCAGCUUGGCCAGCGACCUUUUUUAGAAUCUACGGAGCAUGGGCCAGAUUCCCCACCCAAGGUGGGCGCAUAAAAACCUUACCUACGGCGCCACCGCCACGCCCACCGACGAACCGUCAAGCCCAAAAAAACACACCUAAACGUGCGUUGUCAAAAAAAAAAAAAAAAAAAAAGAAACAACCGAAGCGACCACAAUCACAAUCGCAACCAACGUAAAUAAUUUGUCUACGGAUUUUAGUGCUUUACGACGGGCACUAGCCGAGCGCAAACUUAAAUCGUCAAACGGCAGACGAGCCACCCCAAUAGACCGAUCCACACCCACCCGCUGAACCAGCGAGCCACCAAAACAAUCACCUGGUAGCACGUUACUACCCACCAUCAUCCCACCUUGAUCUUGGGGGCUCAAACCACCUGAUUCUGCCGUCGUGGAAGGUAUUCACUGUCAAUGCCAUUGUCAAUAAAGAAGAAGUCGAUCGGCAUUGAUGGUUAAAGGGAAUUUGAUUUCUAGGUACCCAUAGAUAUGUUCCGUAAUACCAUGUUCAAGAUCACUUGAGUGGUAAACAUAGGGUUUUGGGGUGUUCUUUGACUUCAAAAUGCUUACAAAAGAGAUCGAAGAUCUUAUAAGCAAUAUGAUUAUCCUUCUAUGAACUCAUAGCUAAUAAACAAUAAGGUUUAAUAAUGAUUUAAUAAUAAAUAUAAGCUCUUCCGUAUAUAAAAAAAGAGUGCAGAAAGGAUCUUGUGGCCCACUGUGCACGUGGAAUACCUGGGGAGUCGAAUCGAAGGGAACUCAAGAUGUGAGAGCCAUCCAUUCUCCCCCAGAUCGAUUCGGAUUUGGCGACUGCGAAAGAGCGGAGAAAGCUCAAGAGAGCGCGGAGAUGGAGAUGGCCGGUGCCCGGGGGGCUACGGAUAGUCGGGGACAAUGAUAGUGUUGAUAACAAGUGCUUUGCACUGGAUAUGAGAAUGGGAAUCUUCUCCAAAACCCGAAAGCCCUGCACUGCAAGAAAUUCUAUUUGCAAGUUUUCAAAUCUCAAAAAAUCCACGUUUUUAAUACCAUUUCGUUGGGAGAACUCAGUGUUAUACAAUCAAGAGUGUUAAAAAAUAUCUGCUUCAAAUAUUAUUUCUCUUCCAGUUAUGUUUUUAGGCCCACUGUGAGCCGGCGCAGCCCACUGUGCUCGUAAAAAUCACAACUCACGAUCAUCGGUGAUCUACGGUUUUCAGAUUAAAAUGUAGAACAAUGCGGGGACCAUGACUCCUAGGAUUUUGUCUUGUGAAAUGACGAGUAAAUGAAUUAAUAAAUAAGCUCAAAAGGUUUAAUGAACCAAUAAAAAAUCGUUAUUAUUUGUGAUAUAAAAUAAGAUAUCUAUAUGAUUACAAAUAUAAUUCAUAUAAAGAUUGUUAUCAUUUAAUAGGAAACGAUAAGCAGCGUGAUGAUACCAUAAGGUAUUCUACGAAAUAAUUAGUCAAUAAUACGUAUUUGUGCAUUUCUUCGAGUGUUCUUCUUCAUACGCAAUCCCCGGAAGACAUGCGUAUAUAUUUUCUAUAUUGGGCUAUUUCUCGUCUUUCCCACGUCAUCGAUCGUAUUUGACCAGCUCCACAUCCACUCCCUGCGUUGGGAGAUACCCCCACCCCAAGAAAGCAGCCCGGUUUGCUCCUCAAAUCAGAUCGGGCAAAUAUAACUCAACGAGGUGCUAAAAGAUCCCAUUUGUGCUCGAUCGCUGGAGCCUUUAAUUGAAAAGAUAAGCUGCCUCAGCGCGAAAAGUGCGAGUUUUCGUUACAGAAGCCCAGAGAUUCCACACAGUGGGCCAAAGUCGAAAGAGAGAAAUAACUCAAGGUUGAGUCGGAAUCGGAAUCGGAAUCGUAAGCCCUAUUUAAAUUGGCAACUGAUUCAUACGUGCGAGCUGCAUUAGCCAAUGUUGAUAAGCAUAAUUAAUUAAUUACGCUGCAGCCACGAAAUGCUAACCAGCUUUGAUGUAUCGACGGAACCGCCCAGGUAUUUCACCUGUCGUCUUCCCAAAGUGGCCGCCACAAAUCCGAGUGUAUUUAAAUAAAUUCAAGCGAAUUGUAAUUGAUGGGGCACCAGGCAGGCCCCCGGUUCUCCAAAAAUUAUCGUCUUGGAUGCCGCCGUUUUAUGGCGUGGACAACCCAAAAGUAAUGAUCGAUUUGCGGUUGACACCUGGUGAUGAUUUGGGCGCCCUUCCGGUUGAAUCAAUCAAUCAUCUGCAUGAUUGAUGGAUGGUAUUGAGAAACUCCUUCGAAAACUGCGGUGUAUCUAUCAACUUGCUUCUUCGGAAUCCUUUGACUUGAGUCAUUAUUGGAAUAUAUAGUAUACUUAUCAAUCAAUUAAUGAUACGACUGCCAAA